UACGUAGGGUGCGAGCGUUAAUCGGAAUUACUGGGCGUAAAGCGUGCGCAGGCGGUCAUUUAAGUUCGGGGUGAAAGGUUCAGCGCUCAACGCGAACAGUGCCUUGAAUACUGGGUGACUUGAGUUCGGGAGAGGGCAGUGGAACUGCGAGUGUAGAGGUGAAAUUCGUAGAUAUUCGCAAGAACACCAGUGGCGAAGGCGGCUCACUGGCCCGGUACUGACGCUGAGGUGCGAAAGCGUGGGGAGCAAACAGGG
rnacentral:rRNA from 1 species